rnacentral:rRNA from 1 species
GAUGAACGCUGGCGGCGUGCCUAAUACAUGCAAGUCGAGCGAACAGACGAGGAGCUUGCUCCUCUGACGUUAGCGGCGGACGGGUGAGUAACACGUGGACAACCUACCUAUAAGACUGGGAUACCUUCGGGAAACCGGAGCUAAUACCGGAUAAUAUAUUGAACCGCAUGGUUCAAUAGUGAAAGACGGUUUUGCUGUCACUUAUAGAUGGAUCCGCGCCGCAUUAGCUAGUUGGUAAGGUAACGGCUUACCAAGGCAACGAUGCGUAGCCGACCUGAGCGGGUGGUCGGCCACCCUGGAACUGAGACACGGUCCAGACUCCUACGGUGGGCAGCAGUAGGGAAUCUUCCGCAAUGGGCGAAAGCCUGACGGAGCAACGCCGCGUGAGUGAUGAAGGUCUUCGGAUCGUAAAACUCUGUUAUUAUUGAAGAACAAAUGUGUAAGUAACUAUGCACGUCUUGACGGUACCUAAUCAGAAAGCCACGGCUAACUACGUG